AUACCUUUCUCGGCCUCUUGGCUAAGAUCAAGUGGAGUAUCUGUUCUUAUCAGUUUAAUAUCUGAUACGUGGGCCAUUGGCUUACAUGAUAUUAAAUUUAUUUUUUGAGGUGGAGGGUCCAUCGCAUUAGCUUGUUACUGGGACUCUCAAGCGUUGCCCAAGUGUUGCACUAUUGCUCGGGCCUGGCGCACGCCAA
rnacentral:snRNA from 1 species